rnacentral:lncRNA from 1 species
GAGAGAGAGAGAGAGAGAGAGAGAGAGAGAGACGGGGGGUUCGCCGACGGAGACACAGAGUUUAGGGCACGCGGGCGGCGAUCGGCACGACUCAGGCAAGAGCGUGGGUCGAGUUCAACCGGGGCACGAUCUAAGUAUUCGCCUGAGCGCGAGUGGUGGGUGAGCGGACGAGGCGGCCGCCCGAUUCAAUUCAGGCUGGCCGGGUGGAGUCUGAGUCGAGACGACUGCCCUAAACAGUGAGUGCACAAACAGAAAAUAUUAUAUCACUUGAAGGAUUUAUAGGAAAACCUGUUGACAUUAACUUUUGUGUCAUUUUGCAGGCCACAUAAAUAAUUUAAGUAUAAUAAAUAAUACAUGUUAAGUCGGGGAAGAUUUUUAGCUAAUAUAAUAGUUACAAUAAUCAUAAACAAUUCAGAAUAAAAAGAAGACUUACUUCAUGCUCUUUCUCGGAGACCUUUUUAUUUUCUUUUUGAUGAUAUUAUCUCAGAAUUCAUUAGAUGCUGCAUGCAUCUUAUUGGUCUUCAUAAUGGUUGCUGCUUAUCUUCUACAUUUCUAUCUCACCUGAAAACUACAAAAG